rnacentral:rRNA from 1 species
UACAGAGGGUGCGAGCGUUAAUCGGAAUUACUGGGCGUAAAGCGUGCGUAGACGGUUACAUAAGUCGGGUGUGGAAAGCCCCGGGCUCAACCUGGGAAUUGCAUUCGAGACUGCGUAGCUAGGGUGCGGAAGAGGGAAGCGGGAAUUUCCGGUGUAGCGGUGAAAUGCGUAGAUAUCGUAAGGAAGACCAGUGGCGAAGGCGAGUCUCUGGACAGUUACUGACACUGAGGCACGAAGGCCAGGGGAGCAAACGGG